AUUUCCAUUGUAACUAUUAGAUGGCGCUGGUUUAAUAUCUGUGGCGCUCUCUUAUAGAAACGGUGAAAACUAUUAGUAUCAGAAGCUUGAGCGAUUUGCCACCGAUGGCGCCACUGGCGCUAUUAUUAUUAGUAUGUUUCAGUGAUUGGCUGGUACCAGGGAGCGGUCGCUAUAUUAUUGUCGUUUACAUUUUUAAAAUGUCGCACUGAAUGUGUGAUGAUACGAUGUAUAUUCUAAAUACUGACAAACGUUCAAAGUAUAUGAAAUUCAAAUAGAAAAAUUCAUCAGACAGGAUCAUGAAACGAAGAUGUGGUUUUCAAACAACUAAAUGGAUGUAGUAUGGAAUUAUAUUAAUGGAGCUCAUCAAAACUAGUGACCACGUUGAGGACUCCUGCACUAUAGAAAAUAGUCUAAAGUUUGGAUAGAGUAAACAGUACUCAUGGGACUCGAAUCGUGCCCAUCACUAUACAUCAGGCGGUGUCGUGCGCCGGCUGGUACGGCCAGGUACCAAAUGCCACAAGGUCACCGCUCGUGCGCCCGCGUGCAGAGGAAGGGGUUCCCGCCAGAUGAUGAAGCGGCGGGGAAGAAGAGGGACAGAGAGAGACCUUUAUUGUGCUGGUCGACUUGCACCCGUAAGGCGCGCAGCCAAUGAACAGUGAGAUAACAGGUGAAAGAACACACACGUCGUCCCAAGAGACGGUGAAGACGCCGUUCUCGGCAGGAAUAAAUUUUUCUAAAUUGUCCACCGCUCACCAAGAAUUCAAAUGAUUCACAAACCUUCCUCUCCGCAUUGGCACGACGUGGUACGGCGUAACCGCGUGCCUUGGCUGAGUAAAAAAUGCGCAAAUUAUUCUACCUGGAAACAAACUCAACGGAGAUGAAUGCAAACAAGAUGAACUUACCUGACUCAGGAACAGGACCAUUCCAAACUUUGCUCUUUCCGCAAUCUCAG